CGCUGGCGGCGUGCCUAAUACAUGCAAGUGGGACGCAAGGGAACACACUGUGCGUGCACACCGUGUUUUCUUGAGUCGCGAACGGGUGAGUAACGCGUAGGUAACCUGCCUAUUAGCGGGGGAUAACUAUUGGAAACGAUAGCUAAUACCGCAUAAUAUUAAUUAUUGCAUGAUAAUUGAUUGAAAGAUGCAAGCGCAUCACUAGUAGAUGGACCUGCGUUGUAUUAGCUAGUUGGUAAGGUAAGAGCUUACCAAGGCGACGAUACAUAGCCGACCUGAGAGGGUGAUCGGCCACACUGGGACUGAGACACGGCCCAGACUCCUACGGGAGGCAGCAGUAGGGAAUCUUCGGCAAUGGGGGGAACCCUGACCGAGCAACGCCGCGUGAGUGAAGAAGGUUUUCGGAUCGUAAAGCUCUGUUGUAAGUCAAGAACGUGUGUGAGAGUGGAAAGUUCACACAGGGACGG
rnacentral:rRNA from 1 species